GACGAACGCUGGCGGCGUGCUUAACACAUGCAAGUCGAACGGUAAGGCCCUUCGGGGUACACGAGUGGCGAACGGGUGAGUAACACGUGGGUGAUCUGCCCUGCACUUCGGGAUAAGCCUGGGAAACUGGGUCUAAUACCGGAUAGGACUCCUGCCUGCAUGGGUGGGGGUGGAAAGCUUUUGCGGUGUGGGAUGGGCCCGCGGCCUAUCAGCUUGUUGGUGGGGUGAUGGCCUACCAAGGCGACGACGGGUAGCCGGCCUGAGAGGGUGACUGGCCACACUGGGACUGAGAUACGGCCCAGACUCCUACGGGAGGCAGCAGUGGGGAAUAUUGCACAAUGGGCGCAAGCCUGAUGCAGCGACGCCGCGUGAGGGAUGACGGCCUUCGGGUUGUAAACCUCUUUCAGCACCGACGAAGCGCAAGUGACGGUAGGUGCAGAAGAAGGACCGGCCAACUACGUGCCAGCCGCCGCCGUAA
rnacentral:rRNA from 1 species